rnacentral:rRNA from 1 species
GACGAACGCUGGCGGCGUGCUUAACACAUGCAAGUCGAACGCAGUGGCGAACGGGUGAGUAACGCGUAAUCAACCUGCUCUUCAGAGGGGGACAACAGUUGGACACGACUGCUAAUACCGCAUACUGAAGGAGGGGCUUGCGUCUGAUUAGCUAGUUGGAGGGGUAACGGCCCACCAAGGCGAUGAUCAGUAGCCGGACUUGGAGGAGGAACGGCCACAAUGGGAAUGAGACACGGCCCAGACUCCUACGGGAGGCAGCAGUGGGGAAACCUCCGCAAUGGACGAAAGUCUUGCGGAGCAACGCCGCGUUAGUGAUGACGGCCUUCGGGUUGGAAAGCUCUGUUAAUCGGGACGCGGUACCGGAAUAGAAAGCCACGGCUAACUACGUGCCAGCAGCCGCGGUAAUAC